rnacentral:rRNA from 1 species
ACACGUAGGGGGCAAGCGUUGUUCGGAAUUGUUGGGCGUAAAGGGCGCGCAGGCGGCCUGGCAAGUCUGCUGUUAAAUGUUUGAGCUUAACUCAAUCAUGCGGUGGAAACUACAAGGCUAGAAUCAACGAGGGGAUGCCGGAAUUCCAGGUGUAGGGGUGAAAUCUGUAGAUAUCUGGAAGAACACCAAUGGCGAAGGCAGGCAUCUGGCGACUGAUUGACGCUGAGGCGCGAAGGUGCGGGGAGCAAACAGGUUUAGAUAUCCUGGUAGUCCGCACAGUAAACGAUGUGCACCAGGUGGCGGGUAGCAGUACUCGGUACCGAAGCAAACGCAUUAAGUGCACCGCCUGGGGAGUAUGCUCGCAAGGGUGAAACUCAAAGGAAUUGGCGGGG